AGAGAAAUACAGAAAAAGAUAUAUGAAACUGUACAAGAUAGAAUCAGAAUCAGAAGGGGUUUUAAUCGCCAUGAAAGUUUGCACAGACAAGGAAUUUACUUUGGCAGGCAAGGAAUUUACCCAUAGAUACACAUAUUUCAAAUAUAUUGGUCUCACUCACUUCAGUAUAAUAUAAUAUCUACAGUUUGUACAGUGACCACGUUCAUUGCAUGAGACAUGUAUAAAUGCUAGUCACUGCAUAGUUUAGUUGUUUAAGAUUUGUCAAAUCUGUCUAUUUAUGACACAACAGCUGAUUGCGAAGCUUGCUGCUGAUUAGGUGGACUAAUUCCACUAGACACACCAUUGUAAUACAGGAAGUACUGUUGUUGUAAUGGAUGCAUUUGGCUUUAUACUUCCUCUUUAGGGGCCCACUGUUCCGGCUCAUUCUAAAGAUGCAAUCCAGGGAAGGAAGAGAAGCCGGCCUAUAAAAAGUGGUUCAACCAUCCCCCCCAAAAAGAAAGUUUGCCGUGUACAUGCAAAGAAUAAGGUGUUUCUCUUCCAAGAAGUAGUAGGCAAGAGGAAAAAUGAGGACAGGGAAGAAGUCCUUGUGCGGUGGCAACCUUGUUAUGGUUGCGGCGAACAAUGGGAUGACACCUGGGAGCCUUCAGCCAAUUUUCCAAAAGUGAUUAAUAAAGAUAAAAUGUGC